GAGAGAGAGAGAGAGAAACGGGGACGCAUCGGUCAGAUUUCGAUUCGCCUCGAUCAUACACAUAUCCAUGACAGACCUUGGAAACGAUCAGUUACCUUUGAAAACCGCUCUCACGCGAUAGUCGUAUAAAGGAAUAACGUUAAUGUGAAGCGGCGAUAAAGGAGAAAUAUAUAGGUAAAUAGAGAUACGAUCAAAGUGAUGGUAUGGAGUUUAGAGUGAAUUUGAAGAAAAAGAAAGAUAAUCAAGCCUUAAGAACGAAGAAUUUUAUUUUAUCAUUAACGAAUCGACACAAAGAGAGCACAAAGAGUGAAUAUUUUAAAUCUGUAUAACAAUAAACCCAUGUAUCUGGAUAAAUAAUAUCAAUGUACAUAUCCUGAAUACUAAAGGGAAGUAUUAUAUGGCUUAUAUUAUGAUUUUAUUUGAAUAAAAGAUUAUCUAUAAUGGUACAUCGUUAAAGGCAAAAACAUGAUUUAUUUUAUUAAUAGAAAAAAGUUCACCGGCGAGGAGAAACCACGGACCACCGAUAAGACCGCCUCGUAAGCGAAGAUUAAAUAAUGGGGAACAAUCAAUAAUCUGCAAUAAUCGAUCGAGUACGAGCGAAUCCUCGAUCGGGAUCAUCGAUCAUGAUGGCCAUGCCACGAAAGUAGUAACGGCUCAGAUCGAAAAGAAUCCUAAUGAAAUAGGAUCCGUUGAUGAAGAAAAUUUGAAUUUAUUGAGAACGAUAUUGUCUUCGUUCGACGUCGAUUUAGCGUCGGACGAAUCAGCGUUAAGGGGAUCGGAAGAACGGUCGCUCCUGACGUCACCAAACGAUAAACACGAUCACAAGGAAAAGGCUUUGAUGAGGAAAACGUACGUACUUAAGAGUUAUUUUCAUACUAUAUCGUCGUUAGUCUUAACGAUCGUUUUUACCAGGAAUUAACCACCAUACAUUAUGCGUAUACAUAUCUAAUCGUAUGAGAAACCGCUGGAAGUCUCUUAAGAACGGAGACUAAGAGACUAAUUAAUGAACAAUAAAUGAUCCUAUCUGUUAUUACCAUAAAUCGUCUUUUAGGCUGAACAUGGUAACGUCCCAGAACGACGAAACGGAAAGAUUCUAUUUGAAUAUUCCACCGAAAAGGUCCUCGUAUUUGUCUCGCAAAGUUGAAUCGAUAGAUCAUUCGUUAUUUCAAAUUAAUCCUACGAUCGAUGCUUCUACAUCGACAAAGAUAAAUUAUCAAACGCAAGAACUUAAAGAUUUAUACAACGAGCAAAUGAUAUUUGAAAAAUAUUUCUAUUUUCCCAAUAAGAAGGGUAAUGAAGUUGACAAUUCGCAAAACGAUAAUACUCAAGUCGUCAUUAUCCAAGUGAGAAAAUAUCGAGUGAAAGAUGUCUAUAAGGAAAAAGGUAAAAACACGAGAUCCGAGAUUUUAUCAAAUAAUAUCUCGUCUUUUCAUACAACUAACUUAUCGUCCACUAAGGACUAUGCGAAUUCACGAAGCAAAGAAUAUUUGUUGAAAAAAGGGUCAAAGAAAUUCAAAUCAAAAAAAUUGUCAAAGCUCUUCCAAUGUCACAAAUAAUGUUGAUAUAAAUGGUACUCAUAUUAAAUAAAAAUGUUAUAUAUUGCGACAAGGGGAUAGGAUCUCGAAGGAAAAUAUUGGAUAAAUUUUGGAAAGUGGAAAUCAGUCCGUCAGCGGGUUUCCCGAAGAAUUCAUUUGGAGGUACCGAUGAAGCGACCGAUUUUGCUCGAAUUCACGUUGGUACGUACGCAUGGAAAAAUUUAGAAAUGACCAUUCGCACUAUUUUCAUUCGUUCUUGUUCGAUAUUGCUUGCUCGCGCAUUCUCAAUCUCGCGUUGUCAAUGUUGUUCGAUCCUUUACAUUGGAACGAUUAUAAUUUCAAUCGACCGCGCGAGCGAACGAAAGGCAAAGAGGAAGGAGGAUAAGUGCAUGAAAAAUUGUCGCUAAUUAUCAUCAACGUGCGCCUCGUAUUCCAUUGGAUAUGGAUAUAUAUAUAUAUAUAUAUAUAUAUAUAUAU